UAAGACGGAGGGGGCUAGCGUUGUUCGGAAUUACUGGGCGUAAAGCGUGCGUAGGCGGCCAUUCAAGUUGGGUGUGAAAGCCCGGGGCUCAACCCCGGAAAUGCGCCCAAGACUGUUUGGCUAGAGUCCGGGAGAGGUGAGUGGAACUCCGAGUGUAGAGGUGAAAUUCGUAGAUAUUCGGAAGAACACCAGUGGCGAAGGCGGCUCACUGGACCGGUACUGACGCUGAGGCACGAAAGCGUGGGGA
rnacentral:rRNA from 1 species